rnacentral:rRNA from 1 species
UACGGAGGGUGCAAGCGUUAUCCGGAUUCACUGGGUUUAAGGGGUGCGUAGGUGGGUCUGUAAGUCAGUGGUGAAAUCUCCAAGCUUAACUUGGAAACUGCCGUUGAUACUAUAGACCUUGAAUGCUGUGGAGGUGAGCGGAAUAUGUCAUGUAGCGGUGAAAUGCUUAGAUAUGACAUAGAACACCAAUUGCGAAGGCAGCUCACUACCCAGAUAUUGACACUGAGGCACGAAAGCGUGGGGAUCAAACAGG